AUUGAACGCUGGCGGCAGGCCUAACACAUGCAAGUCGAACGAGUGGCGGACGGGUGAGUAAUGUCUGGGAAACUGCCUGUUGGAGGGGGAUAACUACUGGAAACGGUAGCUAAUACCGCAUUCCAUCGCAUGUGCCCAGAUGGGAUUAGCUAGUAGGUGGGGUAAAGGCUCACCAAGGCGACGACCUCUAGCUGGUCGGAGAGGCUGACCAGCAACACUGGAAUGAGAAAAGGGUCCAAAGUCGUAGGGAAGGCAGCAGUGGGGAAUAUUGCAAAAUGGGCGAAGGCCUGCGACAGCCAGGCCGGGUGUAUGAAGAAGGCCUUCGGGUUGUAAAGUACUUUAAGCGGGAAGGCGUUACCCGAAGAGAAAGCACCGGCUAACUCCGUGCCAGCAGCCGCGGUAAUAC
rnacentral:rRNA from 1 species